rnacentral:misc_RNA from 1 species
AUGAAAUAUACAUAAAUAUUUAAAUAUAAAAUAAAUAAUUGCUUAAUAUAAAAUUUAGAUGGAGGGACCAUUUUGUUAACAAAACAAAAUUUGAUGGACAUAAUUCUUUCACAUCGUUUCAAAUUAACUGUAAUUUGGAUGAAGAGACCGUUUUGUGGUUUUUAUAAAUUGUUUCUCAUAAUAAAUACGGGGACUUAGUGGUUUUUGACAUACCUCAUAGACUAAUUUGUUAUUCACCCUUAGUUCAAGCUCUCUAUAAACUUAGCUCUUCCCCUCUGACUCCCCUCCUUUUUUUGGUUUUGUUUAUUUAUUUAUUAUUUAUAGGUAACCAAUCAAUUUGUAGCUGCUAAGUUUGAAACUUUGUAAUUUUGCAGGCCUGUGACAGCGAGGAUGAU